UAGCUAAACGUGUGAAAGUAUAGUUAAUAUUCUCUCCAUUUUUAAUAUAUGAUAUUUUAGGAAGUUUUUUUGUUUUUGGAAAUUUUUGAUGUUUCAAUAUAUAAGAUAUUUUUAUUUUUCUAUGUAAUUUUUAACUGUAUUAAAAAUUGAAUAUUCAAUAGUAUUUUAUUCUAUAUUUUGUAAUGGGUUAAAUAGUUUUUAUAGUUUCCAAUACUUCUUUUGCGGUUUCAAGGUUUCCAACUUGUAGUAUCACAAGUACCAUGAUCGAAACCUGGCUCUGAAGCCUAUGAUACCAAUUAUUGAAUCAAAUACUAAAACUCAACUUUUAUUGCUUUAGAAAAUCACUCAAA
rnacentral:lncRNA from 1 species